GGUUGUGGGACUUCCUUUGAUUUUCACAAGAAGAUUGAUUAUCUGUUCCUAGUGGGUACCGAGGAAGGCAAAAUCUACAAGUGCUCCAAGACCUACUCGAGCCAGUUCCUGGAUAUCUUCCACGCUCACCACAUGGCGGUGGAUGCCGUCCGCUGGAACCCCUUCCACAACAAGAUCUUCAUUUCCUGCAGCUCGGACUGGACUGUGAAGAUCUGGGAUCACACCAUCAAGACACCCAUGUUUAUCUACGACCUGAAUUCUGCAGUUGGCGACGUGGCUUGGGCGCCUUAUUCCUCCACCGUCUUUGCGGCUGUAACCA